CACGAAACAGGUUGAGCUAACUAUUUACAAAUUUUAGUUUGAGUACAUGUGUGUAGCAGAACACUUCUUAGAUAGGUAGUUAGGGGUGACAGGCCAAGCAAAACUUGUGAUAGCUUGAUCUUAAGGAGACGUAUUAAGUAAGAAGACGGAUAAGGAGUGAUAAGGCUCUUUGUAGAAAUUAAAAUUAUUUAAUAAAAGUUUAAGGCUUUAACCGGCAUUAAUAUGUGAUACCAUAACAUACAAAUAUAUUAGGUUGUUGAGAUUACUUAAGGGACUAAACUAAGUGGAUUACAUAAUGUUAACAUGAGUAGAUCACACAGGUCAGUAAAAUGAACUCGGCAAACAAAUCUUUCGACUGUUUACCAAAAACAUAGCUGGGUGAAAUAACACUCAGUUUUUUCUGCUCAAUGAAAAUUUAAAUGGCCGCAGUACCCUGACUGUGCAAAGGUAGCAUAAUCAGUUGGCUUAUAAUUGAAGUCUGGAAUGAAUGAAUAAACGGAGGGUAGCUGUGUCUUACUGAAACCAUGAAUUUGUUAAGUAAGUGAAAAUACUUACAUUAAAAUAAUAGACGAGAAGACCCUAGAAAUUUGAAUUGCUUUUUGUUGGGGCGACAAAAUAGCAAGUUAACCUAUUUACGUGUACAAGUGCUAAAUUGUGGGUAUGAAUAAUUACUCUAGGGAUAACAGCAUAAUUUAUUAAAGAUUGUGACCUCGAUGUUGGACUAGGAAAUUCAAGUUCAGAA
rnacentral:rRNA from 1 species